rnacentral:snRNA from 1 species
UUGCUUCAGCAGCACAUAUACGAAAAUUGGAACGAUACAGAGAAGAUUAGCACGGCCCCUGACACACAAAUUUAUGAAGCAUUCCAUCUUUUU